AUUUUCACCCUGAUUUUCAUAAGUCUAACACCCAGCACAAGGCCCUAAUUUACGCACUAGCUAGCAUUUAUAUUGUGGUGUGUGACACUCGCAUAAUUGUAGGUUGCUUGGAGCAGGUGAGCUGGAUCAGCUGUAGUGAUGAUGGUAGUGUCUGUGCUCCUGAACUGACCUUGACAAACUCGUGACAAAAUGUGGACUACAGAUACAAGACAAGUGGGAUAUGACAGCUCAUGCACACCAUGACAGGGGCAACAGAUGAAAAUUAUGACCGUGAUUGCCAGGUAGGAUACCACUGGGAAGCCAGUAUGUGAUAUGUCAUUGCAUAUGUUAUGUAGGCAAACUGAGGAAACGUCAGUAUAAUUCAUUAUCACAGAUGACAACAAAAUGGUGCAAUGCGAAGAAUGGUCUGUUUUUAAUUGUGGCUGCCUUCUCACUGAAGAUAAGUAUUGCACGUACAUACAAUCUUAUACAUAUAAAAUAUAGUAGGUUACAAUGACUUGAGAAACAACACAGUGUGACAUUGGUAUAAUUAUCUGUUGCAGGUACAUUAUGAAGGCAAACUGAGCAAACAUGGAUAUAGUUGGAUGUGAUCACAGAUGAAGCAAGAAUGGCACAUCUAUGCAAAGAAUGACAAGAGUGGAAUGAACUUUUGUUCCAUGAAAUAUGGAUUCCUUCCCACACAAGGUAAGUAUCACAUUUGCACACAUCAUGAAAUUUUCAACAUAUUAUUAGUGACGUCACUUUUAUGGACAUAAGGUUCACAAUUAACCUGCUGCUUCACAAGGUUUGAGCACCUUGAGGAAUUCCAGAGAAAUUAGCAGACUAAUUUUUGAACUGUUGCAAAUUGCGAAUUGACAUCACCAAGUAUAUUUUAGAACAGCUUGAAAAGCUAGAUGAACACACUGGUGUAACUUUGUAGCUUCAGAAGAAGUAAUGCCGUGGCAGUCUGUAAGGAAGAGCUGCACGAAGCUAACUUGCACUAACCUGACUAGAACAAACUAACCUAACCUAAAAUAACUUGAUCUAACACGACAAUGUUCAAAGCGGUCUGCCCCGACAACCUCAGAUGUAUAAACAAUUGGGUCCGUCGGAUCGUCUGUGGUAUGAGGACCUAGACUGUUUCCUAACCUAACCUAACCUAGAGCUGCACGAAGCUAACUUGCACUAACCUGACUAGAAUAAACUAACCUAACUUGACCUAACACGACAUAAUGUUGACCCGACGGACCCCGAUGUAUAAACAAUCGUGUCCGUCCGACGGACCUUUAGACACUUCCUUCUAAGAUAUUACAAAGGCUAAGAUUGAUAUGGUUGAUAAGAGAAAAUGGCACAUUGUGAAGAAUGCGGCUUGGUGACAGUGACGGCUAUAGGCAGUGUGUGCUCGUGGAUAAAUCAAUUAUGGAUGCCUGACUAUGCAGGAUGGUGCCCCAGGCCUUGACCACCAUGGCGGAGAUGAAGCUGCGUGUUCACCUGUACAGAAAGGAGACUGUAUGUACAAGACUGGGACAUUGUAC